AUUGAACGCUGGCGGCAGGCCUAACACAUGCAAGUCGAGCGGCAGCGGGAAAGUAGCUUGCUACUUUUGCCGGCGAGCGGCGGACGGGUGAGUAAUGCCUGGGGAUCUGCCCAGUCGAGGGGGAUAACUACUGGAAACGGUAGCUAAUACCGCAUACGCCCUACGGGGGAAAGCAGGGGACCUUCGGGCCUUGCGCGAUUGGAUGAACCCAGGUGGGAUUAGCUAGUUGGUGAGGUAAUGGCUCACCAAGGCGACGAUCCCUAGCUGGUCUGAGCGGAGGCUCAGCCACACUGGAACUGGGACACGGUCCAGACUCCUACGGGAGGCAGCAGUGGGGAAUAUUGCACAAUGGGGGAAACCCUGAUGCAGCCAUGCCGGGUGUGUGAAGAAGGCCUUCGGGUUGUAAAGCACUUUCAGCGAGGAGGAAAGGUUGGUAGCUAAUAACUGCCAGCUGUGACGUUACUCGCAGAAGAAGCACCGGCUAACUCCGUGCCAGCCGCCGCGGUAA
rnacentral:rRNA from 1 species